ACGUGGUGGCGAUAUUGAGCUGUGUAUACCUACAGCCGCUGAGAGCCGGUAUUCCAACGCCAUGAGACGCCUUCUGUCGUGAGCAGUUGACAAGAAAGACCCAGCACUUACUGCAACCGGAAGGAGCGGUUCCUCCCUCGCUCGCGCAGCCGCUCUUCCCCGCCACUCCCUCGGUGCCCGCCAGCACAUUCCCAGCAAGCCCUGAGUAUAUUUGCAUAUCAACUCACUACAUUUUUUUCUUCUAACUAAAAAAUCGAAAGGACAAAUUCCAGAUUCUCCUUGUGAAGUCUUCCUUUCAGUUCAGAAGAAAUGGAAUUCGCUCUUCAACUUCAGGAAGUUGAAAUAAAGAGUUGCUUGGAUUUUGUGUUCACCUUUACCAAAAAAUGGAUUUGGUAACACUGCCACCCUGCUUUGGUGACAGAGAAAGCAAAAAGGGCUUCUGUCGUGAGUGGCACACGUAGGGCAACUCGAUUGCUCUGCGUGCGGAAUCGACAUCAAGAGAUUUCGGAAGCAUAAUUUUUUGGUAUUUGGGCAGCUGGUGAUCGUUGGUCCCGGCGCCCUUUCUUUACUGUUAUAUGUUAGGCGAAAUAUUACGCGUUUGGAGUAAGUGGUGCUUUUUGUAACUGAAAAGAGAUUCUGUGUGUGUUUUUUUUUUUUUUUAGAGGCUGCAUAGUUAUUUGUAUGAACCGCAGGUGACCUAAUUAGCAAGGUAAUUCAGACCUGUAUCCUAGCACUUAAGAAGUGGAAGUGGGAUAACCCUGCGUGUUCUCGUGUGGGAGGCUAGCUUAAGCAACAAAGCAGGAAGGCCCCACCAACAAAAGAAUUUAAAAAUUAUACGUGCGUGGUGGCGCGCGUAUGAGGAAAUUAUUUGGCAACUGUGUUACAGUAUAGCAGCAAAUGGAAUAGACCUAGUCCCUGACUUUAGGAGACCUGCCUCAGCCCCCCGAAUGGCUGGGACUACAGGCGUGCGCCUCCGCGCCCAGCUAAUUUUUGCAUUUUUGGUAGAGACGGGUUCACCAUGUUGGCCAGGAUGGUCUCCAUCUCUUCAUCUGGUGAUCCGCCCACCUCGGCCUCUAGGAGUGCUAGGAUUACAGGCGUGGCCAUCGCGCCCGGCCUGCAAUGUUAUUUUAUGAAGCAGAGGAAAUUGAAAUUACCUUCACCAGGCCUUAGCAAACUUUUUCUAUACCUUAUACCAUACACAAAAGAUUAAUUCAAGGCCGGGCGCAGUGGCUCACGCCUGUAAUCCCAGCACUCCUAGAGGCCGAGGUGGGCGGAUCACCUGAAGUCGGGAUUUCAAGACCAGCCUGACCAACAUGGAGAAACCCCUUCUCUAACUAAAAAUACAAAAUUAGCCAGGCGUGGUGGAGUAUGCCUGUAAUCCCAGUUACUCAGGAGGCUGAGGCAGGAGAAUUGCUUGAACCCAGGAGGCGGAGGUUGCAGUGAGCCGAGACCGCACCAUUGCACUCCAGCCUGGGCAACAAGAGCAAAACUCCGUCUCAAAAAAAAAAAAAAAAAAAAGAUUAAAGACCUAAAUGUAAGACCUUAAACUAUAAAACUCUUAGAGAAAACACAGGGGAAAAUGACAUCGAAUUUGUCAGUGAUUUCUUGGAUAUAAACAAUGGUUUACAAGCAACAAAAAAUAAAUUGGUCCUCAUCAAAUUUUAAAAUGUUAACAUUAAUUUUAAAAUUAAAAUGAAAAACCCGGCCGCGUGCGGUGGCUCACGCCUGUAAUCCCAGCACUUUGGGAGGCCGAGGUGGGCGGAUCACCUGAGGUCAGGGGUUGGAGACCAGCCUAGCCAACAUGGUGAAACCCCGUCGCUCCUAAAAAUACAAAAAUUAGCCAGGCCUGGUGUCAGGCGCUUGUAAUCCCAGCUACUUGGGAGGCUGAGGCAGGAGAAUUGCUUGCACCGGGAGGCGGUGUUGCUGUGAGCCGAGAUCGUGCUACUGCACUCCAGCCUGGGCAACAGAGUGAGACUCUGUCUCAAAAAAAAAAAAAAAAAAAUAGCCGGGCAUGGUGGCUCCCAGCACUUUGGGAGGCUGAGGUGGGCAGAUCAUGAGGUCAGAAGGUCAGGACCAACCUGGACAAUAUGGUGAAACCCUGUCUCUACUAAAAAUACAAAAAAUUUAGCCGGGCAUGGUGGUGCAUGCCUGUAAUCCCAGCUACUCGGGAGGCUGAGGCAGGAGAAUCGCUUGCAUCCAGGAGGCAGAGGUUGCAGUGAGCCGAGAUAGCGUCAUUGCACUCCAGCCUGGACAAGAGCGAAACUCCGUCUCAGAAAAAAAAAAAAAAGAAAGAAAGAAAACCCUUGUACAUCAAAGGACACUAUCAACAGAGUGGAAAGACAAUCCACAGAAUCAGAGAACAUAUUUGUAAAUAAUAUAUCUGAUAAGGGAUUAAUAUCCAUAAUACAUAAGGAACUCAUAACUCAACAACAACAACACAAACCCAGCCCAGUUCAAUAAUGGGCAAAAGGACCUGUAUAGACAUUUCUC
rnacentral:lncRNA from 1 species